rnacentral:lncRNA from 1 species
GUCUUAUGAAGAAAGAUACAUUUUCAGACAUCCACAUAAAUUUGGGUCUAGUCAAGAUUGCCAGUGUAUGUAGGCCAAUAGAAAUGAGCACCUCGGCUGCAGGCAUUGUGUUGACCUGUUAACCUGAAUUUCAUUUCUGACAACUUUUGUAUUUAAACUUAAAUUCCAUAACCUAUAUAUUCACAGGGGGUUAAUUCUCAUUUGAGAAUUAUCAUCCUACUUUAAAAUACAUAUAACAGCAAAAAUCGGUGUUCAUUUCAACCAUCAAGAUAUUGUUUCAAGAUUUGGAGCUUGUCUUCUUGAGAGUUCUGUACAGCAGAGGAGGCAACUUAAAAUGAUGUCAAUAAGAGUUUGCAGAGAUGUCACUUCAUAAUGGAUGGUGGCAUCUGUGAAGUUCCUUUAUUCUCUGGCAUUCAUAAAAAUUAUACCACGUCUAUAUACAUGGUAAUCCAUAUUGCCAUGUCAGGAAGCAAGGACCAGGAGUGGAAGUGAGGGCUCCAAAACUUAUGGCUGGGUGGCCAUAUGAGGUAAGUAAAUUCUCUGCUUCGAAACUUGUUAUGUGCUAUGUAAUACAUUUAAAUUUAAAAGUUGGUCUAAUAAGCUAAGUGUUCCAGGGGUGUGUUGGGCACUGUCUACACUGGUUCACAUAGGUCAU